CUAGUUUCAGUUCGAAGACAGAAAAUCCAAAUAAGUCAUAAACAGGUGGUUACACAAGGUAGCAGAGCUGCCUGUACACCUUCUGGGCACUGAGAACCAGCUUUCGGGGGACUCUGUGGAGCUGGCUCCCAGCUGGAAUCUCCAAGGCAACUGGAACCAAGGCCACAUGCAAGGACACACCAUAAAAACAUUGCAGCAAAAGCCAGGUGAGAGCAGCACAGAGAUCUCCCAAGCAGGAGAAAAAGAAGCAUCCUGUGUUCUGCCUGUCCAAGUAGACACUCUGAGUCAGCAUUCACCUGACCUUCACACAGAAUAGCUUUCCUCUGCUUUUAGAGGACAGUGCCCAGAGACUGAUCAGAGAUAAAACUGGACAAGGAAGAUGGGGGACACCUGGAGCAUCCAUCAUCCAUAUCAAACCAUAACAGAUACAUGGC